rnacentral:lncRNA from 1 species
UUGACCAAAAACACUUAUGACUAGUCAACUGCUAGUCAUGAACAGCCACAAUCAAGAAUACACACAGAGCAUGCCACAAUGUACGUGCAACCCUAGAAGAUUACUAGUGACAACCUAGACACACAGAAGGACCCGUCAAUCUAGGCAUCCCCUGUGCUAGCAACAACUAUAAUGAAAGUGUGUGAAAUUAUCAUAAUCAAGUAAACACCAAAC